rnacentral:rRNA from 1 species
UACGUAGGGUGCGAGCGUUGUCCGGAAUUAUUGGGCGUAAAGAGCUCGUAGGCGGUUUGGUAAGUUGGAUGUGAAAUCUCCAGGCUCAACUUGGAGGGGUCAUUCGAUACUGCCAUGACUAGAGUUCGGUAGGGGAGUCUGGAAUUCCUGGUGUAGCGGUGAAAUGCGCAGAUAUCAGGAGGAACACCGGUGGCGAAGGCGGGACUCUGGGCCGAUACUGACGCUGAGGAGCGAAAGCGUGGGGAGCGAACAGG